UACAGAGGGUGCAAGCGUUAAUCGGAAUUACUGGGCUUAAAGCGAGCGUAGGUGGCUGUUUAAGUCAGAUGUGAAAGCCCCGGGCUUAACCUGGGAACUGCAUCUGAUACUGGACAGCUAGAGUAGGUGAGAGGGGAGUAGAAUUCCAGGUGUAGCGGUGAAAUGCGUAGAGAUCUGGAGGAAUACCGAUGGCGAAGGCAGCACCCUGGCAUCAUACUGACACUGAGGUUCGAAAGCGU
rnacentral:rRNA from 1 species